rnacentral:rRNA from 1 species
ACGCUGGCGGCGUGCCUAACACAUGCAAGUCGAGCGGGGUCCAUCCGGUAGCAAUACCGGGGAAGACCUAGCGGCGAACGGGUGAGUAACACGUGAGAAACCUGCCCCGAAGUCUGGGAUAACCCGAGGAAACUCGAGCUAAUACCGGAUGUCUUCUUCUGAUCGCAUGGUCGGAUGAAGAAAGAUUUAUCGCUUCGGGAGGGUCUCGCGGCCUAUCAGCUAGUUGGCGGGGUAACGGGCCCACCAAGGCGUCGACGGGUAGCUGGUCUGAGAGGACGAUCAGCCACACUGGGACUGAGACACGGCCCAGACUCCUACGGGAGGCAGCAGUGGGGAAUAUUGCGCAAUGGGCGAAAGCCUGACGCAGCAACGCCGCGUGCGGGAUGAAGGCCUUCGGGUUGUAAACCGCUUUCAGUGGGGACGAAUUCAGACGGUACCCACAGAAGAAGCCCCGGCCAACUACGUG